UCUGCCUCCCAAGUGCUGGGAUUUUUUUUUAAAGAUUUAUUCAUUAUUUAUUAUAUGUAAGUACACUGUAGCUGUCUUCAGACACACCAGAAGAGGGCAUCAGAUCUCAUUACGGAUGGUUGUGAGUCACCAUGUGGUUGCUGGGAUUUGAACUCUGGACCUUUGGAAGAGCAGUCGGGUGCUCUUACCCACUGAGCCAUCUCACCAGCCCCCAAGUGCUGGGAUUAAAGGCGUGUGCCACCACUGCCCGGCACCAGUCAAAAAUUUAAAGGAAAAAAAAGCAGGUUUUUUUCUUAGUCAGUAGUAGUGGCACACUUUUUUUUUUUUUUAAUAAAGAUUUAUUUAUUAUUAUAUGUAAGUACACUGUAGCUGUCUUCAGAUAUACCAGAAGAGGGCAUCAGAUCUCGUUACGGAUGGUUAUGAGCCACCAUGUGGUUGCUGGGAUUUGAACUCUGGACCUUCAGAAGAGCAGUCGGGUGCUCUUACCCACUGAGCCAUCUCACCAGCCCCGUGGCACACUUUUUUAACCCCAGAAACUCAGGAGGCAGGCGGAUCUGAGUUUGAGACCACAUACCAAGCUUCAGGACAGUCCGGGUUAC
rnacentral:lncRNA from 1 species